rnacentral:rRNA from 1 species
UUCCUGUCCAACGUUAAUCGGGGCAGGGUGAGUCGACCCCUAAGGCGAGGCCGAAAGGCGUAGUCGAUGGGAAACAGGUUAAUAUUCCUGUACUUGGUGUUACUGCGAAGGGGGGACGGAGAAGGCUAUGUUGGCCGGGCGACGGUUGUCCCGGUUUAAGCGUGUAGGCUGGUUUUCCAGGCAAAUCCGGAAAAUCAAGGCUGAGGCGUGAUGACGAGGCACUACGGUGCUGAAGCAACAAAUGCCCUGCUUCCAGGAAAAGCCUCUAAGCAUCAGGUAACAUCAAAUCGUACCCCAAACCGACACAGGUGGUCAGGUAGAGAAUACCAAGGCGCUUGAGAGAACUCGGGUGAAGGAACUAGGCAAAAUGGUGCCGUAACUUCGGGAGAAGGCACGCUGAUAUGUAGGUGAAGUCCCUCGCGGAUGGAGCUGAAAUCAGUCGAAGAUACCAGCUGGCUGCAACUGUUUAUUAAAAACACAGCACUGUGCAAACACGAAAGUGGACGUAUACGGUGUGACGCCUGCCCGGUGCCGGAAGGUUAAUUGAUGGGGUUAGCCGCAAGGCGAAGCUCUUGAUCGAAGCCCCGGUAAACGGCGGCCGUAACUAUAACGGUCCUAAGGUAGCGAAAUUCCUUGUCGGGUAAGUUCCGACCUGCACGAAUGGCGUAAUGAUGGCCAGGCUGUCUCCACCCGAGACUCAGUGAAAUUGAACUCGCUGUGAAGAUGCAGUGUACCCGCGGCAAGACGGAAAGACCCCGUGAACCUUUACUAUAGCUUGACACUGAACAUUGAGCCUUGAUGUGUAGGAUAGGUGGGAGGCUUUGAAGUGUGGACGCCAGUCUGCAUGGAGCCGACCUUGAAAUACCACCCUUUAAUGUUUGAUGUUCUAACGUUGACCCGUAAUCCGGGUUGCGGACAGUGUCUGGUGGGUAGUUUGACUGGGGCGGUCUCCUCCUAAAGAGUAACGGAGGAGCACGAAGGUUGGCUAAUCCUGGUCGGACAUCAGGAGGUUAGUGCAAUGGCAUAAGCCAGCUUGACUGCGAGCGUGACGGCGCGAGCAGGUGCGAAAGCAGGUCAUAGUGAUCCGGUGGUUCUGAAUGGAAGGGCCAUCGCUCAACGGAUAAAAGGUACUCCGGGGAUAACAGGCUGAUACCGCCCAAGAGUUCAUAUCGACGGCGGUGUUUGGCACCUCGAUGUCGGCUCAUCACAUCCUGGGGCUGAAGUAGGUCCCAAGGGUAUGGCUGUUCGCCAUUUAAAGUGGUACGCGAGCUGGGUUUAGAACGUCGUGAGACAGUUCGGUCCCUAUCUGCCGUGGGCGCUGGAGAACUGAGGGGGGCUGCUCCUAGUACGAGAGGACCGGAGUGGACGCAUCACUGGUGUUCGGGUUGUCAUGCCAAUGGCACUGCCCGGUAGCUAAAUGCGGAAGAGAUAAGUGCUGAAAGCAUCUAAGCACGAAACUUGCCCCGAGAUGAGUUCUCCCUGACCCUUUAAGGGUCCUGAAGGAACGUUGAAGACGACGACGUUGAUAGGCCGGGUGUGUAAGCGCAGCGAUGCGUUGAGCUAACCGGUACUAAUGAACCGUGAGGCUUAACCUU